CCGAGUGUGUUUAGAGGUAAGGUUGGAGAUGUAGCUCAGGCCGAGUGUGUUUAGAGUAAGGCUGGAGAUGGAGCUCAGGUCAGUGCUUGCCUAUCAUGCACAAGCCCUGAGCUCCAUCGCUAGCAGAGCAUAAACGGCCAUGGUGGUGCACGUCUAUCAUUCCAGCACAUGGUCAUUCCAAGAGUGAGUUUGAGACCAGACGGGGAUCCAUAACACUCUGCCUUAAGAGAAAAUAAAAAUGGGCUGGAGAGAUGGCUCGGCAGUUAGGAGCACUUGCUAUUCUUCCAGAGAACAUGAGUUCAGCUCCCAGCAUCCAUGUCAGGCCACUCUCGACCCCUGUAACUUUAGCUCCAUGAGAUCCAAUGCCCAAUUCUGGCACUAAAUUCAUGUGCACAGACACAUAUUUACAUGUAAUUAAAAAUUUUAAAUAUAGAAAAACAACAAAAGAGCUGCCUGCAGGUGGUACUUCCUGGAAAUAGUGACUGCCUGUACCGAGGCUGAGACUCUCUGCACGGCAUCACCUCUCUGUGAGCCUCAGUGUCCUCUGCAGCCCAGCCCAGCACCACUUCCCUUAGAGGAGGCAGUGUGCAAGGAACAGUGUCUUAUAGAGAGGGCCCAGCCUCUUUGAUAGGAAAUAAUGAACUCUCACAGCUGCUCCUUGAGAGGGAAGGAACUGGGUCCUGUCAGUCCUCAAGCUGCUGCCUUCUAUGUACAGCGACUACCUUCCUCCUCUCACGAGUCUACCCAAUGUGGGGGCCUUGGAUCUCACCUCCUCCACAAAACUCUGUCUGUUCCUGGAACUCUCUACCCAUGCCACCUACCAUACUUAUGGACAGGCCUAAUGAAUAUGGAAUGAGUGGUUAGCAUAGGGGGUUUGUAAGCAAGGCUGCCGUGUUUGGCUGCACAAAAUGGGCUCUGCCCAGCCAAGGGAAGGAAAUGCUAUUCACACAGAGUGUACUGGGACAGGGGUCCCACUGAAUUACAUAACAUAAGCACUGCUUCCAAGUCAUUGGCCAACCACUUGGACCAAGCGAGGUGUGUAACAUCCUAAGGCUCCGUUUUCUCAUCUGGGAAGAAUGGGAUAUUGUUGGUACCCUACCGUAUGCCCCACAGAGGUGAAAUCAGCAGCUGGUACUGAGUGCUUCAUUUCAUUAUUAUUAGAGUUACUGUCUUUGUUUCAUGUGUGGGUGUUUGUUUGUUUUUCUCUCUGAGAAGAUAGGAACAGUCUAGGGACAAUGAGUCAUUACUUGUCCCUGCACCUAGCAGCAGGCCGAGAGCCUGAUGUCACUCCCUCAGGCCCUUCCUCCAUCUUUCUGUUUGUCCAAAUACACUCUUAUUAGUCAUGCCUUUCUUAUUUACAGAUGACAAAACUUCAAAACAACCUAGCUGAAGCUAACGGAAGCCUUUCUAGGCUGACAUGACUAGUAGUCUGUGUCGGGGAGGUCAUGUGGCUCCAGGUGUGGCUCGAGCCAGGACUAUCGGCUUCUCCGCUUCCUGUACUGCUGCAGAGCCGGCCUCAUUCUCAGGGGAUUCUCCACAUGGCGGGAAAACAGGUCCCCGGGUGCCUUGGUUUCCCUUUGCUCUCUCUCCUCUAUUCUCUUCCUUUUCUUUCCUUUCCCUUGCAACAGACAGGGCCUCAUGUGGCCAAUGCUAUCCUCAGACAUGGUAUCCAGCCAAGGAUGACCCUGGAGUCCUGAUUUGGCUUCCACCCCGAGUGCUGGGAUUAUGGCUGCACCAUCAUGCUCAACUCCAAUUGUUUUGUUUUUGCAAUAAGGUCUCAGUGUUCUGUCUGCAUGCAUGCUUUCAUACCGGAAGAGGGUGCCAGAUCUCAUUACAGAUGGUUGUGAGCCACCAUGUGGUUGCUGGGAAUUGAGCUCAGGACCUCUGAAGAACAGUCAAUGCUCUUAACCUCUGAGCCAUCUCUCCAGCCUUUGAUACGGGACCGUGAACCAGAAAGAGGCUUGGAUUCAGCCUUGCCUCACAGCUCAGCUCAGCUCAGCUCUCGACCGGAGGUGACUUCAACAAGGCUCCACUUGGCUCCGCUUCAUUGGCUUCUAUCCUUUAUCUGGUAAGUGGAGAAAAUGCCACCCACUCUCUGGGUUGUCCUUAGAUAAAAGAAGGUGCCCAAGACCCUGGCACACAGUGGGCACUAAGCAACACUGGUUUCUUUAUCCUCAGCUCCCCUUAAAGCUCAGCCGCAACUGCCUCCUUUGAAUGGUGUGUCUCCUAUAAACCACCUGAGAGAGCAGGAGUCCAUUUCUCUGCCUUCCUCCUGGCCCCAGCGCCAGGUCAGAGAUGGGAAGAGGUAAUCGAGACCUGCCCUGUCAGGGCUCUGUAAGGAGCCUGGAGUCUUGAUGGAGCGCUAACAGAAGGGCGGCUCCUACCAGUGCCCUCACAUGUCACCUACACCCUCGUCACCAGUGCAGGGCAGUCAGUCGGGUGGGAGCUGAAAUAAAAUGAACCGCACUAUGACUGACUUCUCUCACACACUAGGAAGUGCGGGUGACGAGCCAAACCCCAGCACAGACAGCCAAGAGAAUGUUAGCAACUCUCAGGCCCAAGGAGGAAGCAUACUGGUUUUCAUUAGUUCCUCUAUGAUGUUUUUUGUGUGUUAUAUGUGUACAUGUCCAUGUUGCAUGUGUGAGUAUGCAUGUGGAGGCCAGAGGUUGAUAUUGGAUAUCUCUAUCAUGCUUUACCUUAUUUUUAUUAUAAUCUAUGCACUUAUGUAUUCAUUAGGGGUUACAUGCCAUGGUGUGCAUGUGGAUGCCAGAGGACAACUUGCAGGAGGUGGUUUUCGAUCUGUCAUUUGGGUUCUAGGGAUUAAAAUCAAGUGGCCAGGCUUGGCGGUAAGUGCUUUCUCCACGCUGAGCCAUCUUGCGGGUCCUUGGCCUUCUUUUUUGAAGCAGGAUCUCUUAAUGGGAUCCUAGCAGACCUAUUCGGCUAGGCUUGCCUCUGCCCAUCCAAGCAUUGAGGUUACAGAUGUGUCCUGCUGUGGCCAGCUUUCAUGUGUGUGCUGAAGACUGAACUCGAGAGGCCAGACUAGGUGGCCAGCAUUUCCCCCACUGAGCUACCUGCCCAGUGCCUCUGUGGUAUUCUGAUUAAAUAAUACCAUAAAGAAAAACACAGCCAGGAAGUGGUGGUGCACACCUUUAAUCCCAGCACUUGGGAGGCAGAAGCAGGCAGAUCUUAGCGAAUUCAAGGCCAGCCUGGUCUACAAAGUGAGUUCCAGGACAGCCAGAACAAACUAUUGCACAGAGAAAGCCUAUCUCGAAAAAAGAAAAGAAAAAGAAAACACACAUAAAAAGACAAAAGACAAACAAAUGCAACACAGCACUGUAAAUAUUACUGAACUACACUUAUCAAUGGAGUCAGGCUGGAGAGAUGGCUCUGGUUAAAGUGUGCACUGCUUUUGUAGGGGACUGGGGUUCACUGGGCAGCUAGCAAACACCAGUGAGUCCAGCUGCAGGGCAGCCAACACCACAGACACCUGCACUCAUGUGCACAAACCCACAUAAUAAUUCAUCCACCUGAGACACAACUUGGGGGAGCAGGGCUGGUCCCUGGCACAGUGCU